AUUGAACGCUGGCGGCAUGCCUAACACAUGCAAGUCGAACGGUAACGCGGAGAGCUUGCUCUCUGGCGACGAGUGGCGGACGGGUGAGUAAUACUUAGGAAUCUGCCCAUUAGUGGGGGACAACUCGAGGAAACUCGAGCUAAUACCGCAUACGCCCUACGGGGGAAAGCGGGGGAUCUUCGGACCUCGCGCUAUUGGAUGAGCCUAAGUCGGAUUAGCUUGUUGGUGAGGUAAAGGCUCACCAAGGCGACGAUCCGUAGCUGGUCUGAGAGGACGAUCAGCCACACUGGGACUGAGACACGGCCCAGACUCCUACGGGAGGCAGCAGUGGGGAAUAUUGGACAAUGGGCGCAAGCCUGAUCCAGCAAUGCCGCGUGUGUGAAGAAGGCCUGCGGGUUGUAAAGCACUUUCAGUAGAGAAGAAAAGCCUAGGGUUAAUACCCCUGAGUCUUGACGUUACCUACAGAAGAAGCACCGGCUAACUCCGUG
rnacentral:rRNA from 1 species